CUCUGUUGAUGCCCAGAAUGAGGGCAGCAUAGGCAACAGCAGUUCAAUAUUGUCCACAUUGCCCUGCCAAUGUGCCUUGCCCUAACCUGGAGUACCGCAUCCAGAUCUGGGUG
rnacentral:sRNA from 1 species